rnacentral:misc_RNA from 1 species
AGAUUGAUUAACAAAAUCUUAGGAGUGAUUUAUUAUUUAUUGAUAACAUUUCAUGUAUAUCAUGAAUUUUCUAUAUAAAUAUGGAGUUCAAUUUAUUAUGUAAAACACACAACACAUAAAUAAAAUUUAACUCUUUUAAGGUUUUGUGUCCAUGGAUGUAGGCUCUUAGUAGCCGAACCAUGUAAUUCCUUCUCUUAUUAUUUUCUCCUA